AUUGAACGCUGGCGGGAGGCCUAACACAUGCAAGUCGAGCGAGCGGCGGACGGGUGAGUAAUGUAUGGGGACUGCCCGAUAGAGGGGGAUAACUACUGGAAACGGUGGCUAAUACCGCAUACUAUCGGAUAACCCAUAUGGGAUUAGCUAGUAGGUGGGGUAAAGGCUCACCAAGGCGACGAUCCCUAGCUGGUUUGAGAGGAUGACCAGCCACACUGGGACUGAGACACGGCCCAGACUCCUACGGAGGCAGCAGUGGGGAAUAUUGGACAAUGGGGGAAACCCUGAUGCAGCCAUGCCGCGUGUAUGAGGAAGGCCUUAGGGUUGUAAAGUACUUUCAGCGGAGAGGCGUUACCCGCAGAAGAAGCACCGGCUAACUCCGUGCCAGCAGCCGCGGUAAUUC
rnacentral:rRNA from 1 species